CGGACGGGUGAGUAACACGUAGGUAACCUGCCCUAUCGUGGGGGAUACCCAGCCGAAAGGUUGGCUAAUACCGCAUAAUCUCUUAGGUUGAAAUACUUGAGAGGAAAGAUUUAUCGCGAUUGGAGGGGCCUGGGUCCGAUUAGCUAGUUGGUGAGGUAAUGGCUCACCAAGGCGACGAUCGGUAGCUGGUCUGAGAGGACGAUCAGCCACACUGGAACUGAGACACGGUCCAG
rnacentral:rRNA from 1 species